rnacentral:lncRNA from 1 species
CGGCCUCCGAGGGCGGAGAACGCGGCGGCGGUGUUUAUUAGGAGGCUAUGAGGGGCUCGGUGGCGGUUGUACGCUGAUAGAUGAGGCCUGACAGACAGGAGAAGACGACGGGCCAGCGUUUAGCGAGGUGGAGGCAGGAGGAGCCCCGCGCAGCAUCACCUGAGCGCUGGUACCCGCCUCAGCCUCCAGGUCCAGAGGAACACGGGAACAGGGACAGGAAAGGUCUCAUUUCAAGCCCUAUGAGAUAUACAGUAAUUUCUGGGUUGGAUUCCAGUUCGGACCUGGUUUUCUGCACACAGACAAGCGCACGCAUGCAGCAGGGAGGUGUGAGGUUGUCUGCGUCUGAUCCCGGCUGACAGACGUGAUCUCUGCGAGGACUCAGUGGUGGAAAGCGUGCGAGAGCGAGUUCAUCCUUGUCUCGUACCCGUUUCACCUCCUGCAGGACGGAGCUGGUGGAGGUCACAGUCUCAUCUCUGUGUUGUAGGAUGAUAAUACAUGUCUGUUAUGCAGAUGAUGCCUUCAGUCAGUUCAUUUUAUUCACUUGCUGUGUGCUUGGUUUGACAUUCCUUUACUGGAGAAAUAAUAGUUCUGGAGCGCCGGCGUCGUAUCAUGAAGACGCAAAUGAAGACGCAGAACUGCCUCGCGCCCGCGUUUCCGGCUCUGCCUGGUACUGAUAACCUGCCAACACGCGCUGCACACAGAGAGCGGACGGAGCGGAAGUCAUUAGAGCCACGAGCAGGCCGCCGCGUCACAUCCACGGUAAUGAUCAUUGAAAAGCAUUAGGGGCCUAACAGAGUCGCACGCCCUCAACUGUUGAGGCCCAGACCGGGAAUUUGUUUUCAUUACGCUGCAAUAUGCUACUGCACCAGUUUUAAUGAUAAACUAUUGAUAGCUGGCAUCCCGCUUCAUCAUAAUUAUAAUAUUUUACCAGUUUAUGAGUUUCAGCCUCAGUUUUGUGUCUAUGCGGAAAUCAGGGCAGUCACUGAUGUUUUUAAAUCUUAAAAUGAAAUCAUCCUCCCAGAGCUGCCUUCAAGCCCAGACUGAACAACUGAGGCUAAUCAUGAAUACGUAUCGUUCAUCCGCAGUACAGUGCAUUUAAUUUGAAAAUCCAAAGGCUCCACACACGCCUGUCGGGAGCGGCAUUAGUCGGCUGCCGCGGCGUCAGGGUCACGGAUGGUGCAGCU